UAGUCUUGCUGCCAGGUUUUUUUUCGUCCCACCAAAUCCGGUUUUUUCUCGUCCUCAUUCCCACCUCCCACUUUGCUGGUUUUUUUCGUUCUCCUCGGCCCGUCCAUCGAUCGAAUGUCGUCGCCAGCACCUCACCGCUCUUUUCUUCCACACAAUCCCGCACGCAAACAAAAAACCAAAAAAAACCCGCCUGACCGAAACCUACGAACCUACGAACCUUCGUGAUUUGCUGGUCCGCCCACCUCCCAUCGCGUACAGCUAGGGUUUCCGAUGAAGCCCGUGGCCUCCACAUCAUUGCCGGUCGCGUCGGCGGGGGAGAGGCUGUGGAGCUGCGGCUGCGGCGGAGGCAACUCGAGAGUGACCAUGCUAGAGCAGUGCCAGCGGGCGCUCGGGCUCAUGCGCGACGCCGAGGGGGCGGGGAUCUGGACGACGAGUAGGAGGGGAAGAGCGGGAAUCUAGGCGAGGGUGCGGACGGGCGGAUGGCGACGUCAGCGACGGGGAGGGGCCGACCCUGGCGCCGGAGAAGGAGCCGUGCGGCGCCGAGUACAGGACGAACGAGGUGAGAGAGAUCUACCGUCCCCGCGUGAUUUACUGGUCCGUUGGAGAAUUUGGAUUGCGAUGCUGAUUGGCUUGAUCGGUUGGCGACUUGGGAAAAUCGGGGGUCCUCGGAACCAUAGUGAUUGAGCAGCCUCUUGUUGGAAUUGUUGUUCUGCACUGCCUUGGUAUCUGGCUGCUUGACACCUUGUUUCUUCUCUUAAUUAUCAAUAAGGUUUCUGCUACUGUUUGGAAGGACUCAACUGUUCUCUGCUAAUCACGGAUAUCACUUACUGGGGUGAUAGUAAAGCUGGGACUAGGAACAGACGGAACAGUGUGCUACUUUUGUUCUCAACUGCCCUAAUUUUCACACCUCACCCGUUAUUUUUGUAGCUAUGUAAUCUUCUCAAAUCAAGGUUUGAAUUGCCUGAAAAGUGAAAAUGAGCUUCAGAAGUCAGUAUACCAACAUGACGCAAGUGCAUAAUUUGUCUUAUAAACUGACCUUGCCACACCAUGCUCCAAAUUCUUUAUUCCCCAUUGCAAUCAUACUUGAAAACUGAACAAUUCUGCAACUGUUCAUGUAAUAGUAGAUGAGACCAUAUCAUGGGAUAUCGUAAGUGCAGCAGACAUAUGGGACGAGAAGAAUAUGAACGUCAGUGAUGAUUUAGACGAUGGAUAUGUUCUCCUUAAGCAGGAGGAUAUAGUCGAUGGAAUUGGAUGCUUCAUGGAUGCGUACUUCCUAUCGCUGAAAGAAACUAAGGUGCGGGUGUGCGUCGACGGGGCAUUAAUCAUGUGUUCAUCAGCAUGUCAGAGCUAUUCUUCGUCCAGAACAUCAACUAUUUGCAUCGGUAAUGCAAUCAGUCAGAUAUGAUAUUCCAUGUUUGUCCAUUGGGUCACACUAGGAGCAACGGAUGUGCACAAGAACUUUCCUGCCCAGGUGGUUUCCGACCUUCUGGAUUACUUUGCCUGCUAUAGAAAAUAGAACCAGUUCCACAAAAAUUGAUAGUUCAUUUGUGUAAUGGAAUAUCUGUUAUGCUCAGAGUCUGACUGGUUGUUGCAUGAAUGUAACCAUGUGAUUGGUGGAAUUCUUGGGGUUGUAAUGUUUACUCGUGCCUAUGCGCUUUCAACUUUUAAGUAAUGCUAGAGUGUAUAUUUGUUCUGCUUCCUAUAUUGCAUUAGAGGAAUACCAUGAUCUCCUACUAAGUGAUUGCCAAAUGCUUCAUUCUUCUGAAUCAUAUUGAAGAGUUUUAUUUUACUUUCAGUUUCACUGUAUGUAGUUUAUACUUUUGGUCCAUGUCUGACGAUGUGAAUUUUGACUGCUUCCAUGAACAGUUUGUUCCCUGUCAUGCAAUCUUCUGAUUCGCAAAGAUUUCCUGUCCAUUAAGGUAAUUCAAUCUGCCAUUGAUCAGUAAUUCUUGCUAUGUGCAUGAUAACAACAUGGACGUGCUACUCCUUUUUUCAAUCACAAUAAUGAGGUGUUGUAAAUUGUAUAAAUUUUUUAAUAUGCUACUGAACAAUGCCUACAGAGACUCGAAAUUAUCAUCUACUAUUCCCUCCGUCCGGAAAUACUUGUCAUAGAAAUGGAUAUAAAUGGAUGUAUCUAGAACUAAAAUACAUCUAGAUACAUUCAUUCUUCGGACAAGUAUUUCCGGAUGGAGGGAGUAAUAGGUAGUACGCCUGACAGCCUUGCACCAUGCUGCCAAAAUGUUUGUUAAUAUGCUUACAGUUUUGUUUGACUCGCCUAUUUAAGCUUCGAGUAUUCACUUGUUGCUUCUCGAUAGAAACCAUGAGCCAGUUCAAAUACAAGAAUUACCUGGAUAACAUUAUAUUGCAGCACCAUGAGAAUUGUUACAGAUUCUUUAUUGAUGGUAUUAAACUUCAGAGACACAAAAAUCCCUGCGUACAACCCCCCUUUACUUCAGUUGCUCUCCUGAUGUGUUCUCCUACUCUCACGUCUCCCCCUCACAGGACGACGGUACACUGGGCCACAUGACCACAACCGCCUGGGUGUGAUGCAGUAAUUUAUUCAUUAUGUGGUUUUUAUCUGGUCUUGAAUUAUCUUUCUGACCAACAUUGAGGUUGAAUUUAACAUUCCGUUUGUCCAUACACUGAAAGAGCUUGAAAAUCAUCUAACCAAGACAAUGCAUGACCGAUCUUAGUUGUGAAACUUGUUUUUUGGUGUCUUUGACUUGUCCCUACAAGUAUGAUGCCAUACUGUGAGUGGCAACCUCAACUAGCAGUAUAAGCUGUAUGAGCAUAACGAGCAAUUCUGUGAUACGUGUGAUCGAGAAUUUGCCAAUUAUAUACAUGGAAGGUAAUCAAAUUAUGUUUAUAUGGAGCCUACCACUGGUAGCUGUAAAUUAGAUAUAAUAAUAAUCAGUAUCCUUGCUAGCUUUGUUUCCUUAUAGGAUAUCCUGCCGAUUUGAUCUAUUUUUGGCUAGAGCACAUGAGAUCAAACCAGAGGUAAUCAAUUUGCUAUGUUCACCUGUUUAGCUAUAAGGAAUUUAUUGCCUCUGUUUUAUUUGCAGGAUACCCAAACCAGUGGUAACGUUUUUGGCUUUGAAAUUCCGUACAAGGGUUGUGGAUACAAAGUACUGUCAGAGUGUUCAUAGUCCCUCUACUGGUUUCUGUAGAAGAAAAUUUAUAGCUCCAAAAAUGCAGGUUUGUCUCAAACUACUACAAAAUCGGAGACAACCAACCAAACGAAGCAAACUUUGUUGAUACAGGAUCUUAUUGUGUCUUCUGCUGAUUACUGUAAUGAUUUACUAAUAUGACACACUCAAAGAUUGCCUUUUGGGUUCUUCAGAUUCCCAGUUGUCAAAAGAGGUCAAUGCAUCUAAAUACAUUUUACUUUGUUCCAUAUAGGUCUGGCCUCAUUCUAGAAAUACCAAUGCUCCCAUAUGUAGAACUUAUUUCGAUUUUUCUUAUAGAAAGACUUUACGAGACUUUUAGUUUUUUCAGUGUGCUAUAAUUGCCUAUCCUUCAACUAUAUCAAUUUUUUAAGACUAUACUCAUAUAGGCAGGUUAGAACUUUAACUGAAUUAUUAUUUUAUAAAGUAAACUUUGACUGAUCAUAACUAUGAAUAAUGCUCAUACCAGAAGCAUGGAUGUUUUCUUAUGUAGUGAAUUAACUAGGAAUAUAUUUUCUUUUAGUUUCCUUUGUUGUGUAAUUUUCCCACACUCAGCCAAUGUACUAAAUGAUGCUCAUACAUUUAUUUGAGAAAAUAAUUUCACAGAAGACAAGUAAAAGGUAUCUAAAUUUAAUGUACAAAAAAGCAAAACUAGCAUAGAGAGUUGACAAUUCUAUUUUUCACUACUUAUGUUAUCUUCAUUGGACCUUAAGCCAUAAUCAUUGGCUGUUGUUGUGUGUCUGCCUGCCUGGCAAGGUUUCACCUCUAUAUUUGCCCUACCGGUGACUUGUUUGGAACCCGGGAAAGAAUUAUUUUACAUGUUAGAGUAUUCUCAUAUCUUCGAAGUCAUAAAACUAGCUGAGAUAAUGAAAUAAUGCCAGGUAAUUGCCCGUGGUUUCAAGGUUGCGCAAAGGAGUUGAGGCAUGGUUCAAGGGCGUCUUCUGGCACUGGUUUGCCAGCUAGCUAGCUCCCCGACAAUAUCCGUGCCUCAUAGGUGUUUAGGUGCACACGUCACAGAUUGACCGGAGUGUGACGAGAAGAACUAUCAAGGGUUUUGAGUGCGAAUCAUCUUCAUCAAUAGUACAGGAUUCUUACGACGAGUAAGUGAUACGUUAGGGUUAUGAUUUUUACACUCAACUUUACCGCUGGUGUUGAUGGGAAUCCACAACCUUGUUACUUCCGCUAUUUGGAUUGAGCCGCGUCCACCGGAGCACCACGACUGCGUCUGCGACCUCAUCUCUGCUCCGCCGCCGUCUACGACCUUGUCUGCGACCGCGUCCACCGAGGUGAGUUCUUCCAUGGAUCAUUUUUGUUUCUUCAGUGAACUGGUUGCAGGACCUUGACUACACACAAAUUUGGGCCUGCUGUGUGUUUGUGCUCUGUUUCUUCAGCGUUUUGCAGUGUAUAGCUACAGAUUUUUCUCACUGUAAUACAUCAAAUGGUCCAUAUCGGUGCUAAACUGCUAAUGCCUGUCAGGCUUGGCUCACUUAUGUUGACAGCGUAUGAUUGCUCUGCUCAGUAUCAAGUUAAGAAGACUAGUUUAUCCUCACACAAAGUCUGCCAAUCUUUAUUAUCCCUAGUUGCAAGGGGACACGUUACUGAACCAGCAGUAGAUGUGCAUAUGCCAUAGAACUUCUACUGUCCUACUCCUACAUGCUCUUUAUGUAGCUACAGCCUACAGUCAGCACUAUUCUACUGUUGAAAUCUUGCUGCCACUUUUAAAUCUGUAAUACUCAUCGGUACCCCAGUUAUCUGCUUGCUGUAUUAGUAGCUUAGAAAAUAAAACCAUCCACUGUUUUUUUAACCUUUCCCCAGUGUUACUUUUUGUUUACAUAAACUAUAUGCAUGUUGAAUUAUAUACCAUGACCAAGUUUUUGGGUGACAGCUGGUUUGACUAUUUGUUUUAGAGUUCUGUGUUUCUGGUACCUACGAUUUUAGUGCAAUACUUUUUUGGUCUGUACUUGCUAGUUAAAGGU